AUUGAACGCUGGCGGCAGGCCUAACACAUGCAAGUCGAACGAGUGGCGGACGGGUGAGUAAUGUCUGGGACCCUGCCUGCUUGAGGGGGAUAACUACUGGCCCCGGUAGCUAAUCCCGCAUACCAUCAGAUGUGCCCAGGUGGGAGUAGCUCGUUGGUGGGGUAACGGCUCACCCAGGCGACGAUCCCUAGCUGGGCUGAGAGGAUGACCAGCGACACUGGAACUGAGACACGGUCCAGACGCCUACGGGAGGCAGCAGUGGGGAAUAGUGCACAAUGGGCGCAAGCCUGAUGCAGCCAUGCCGCGUGUAUGAAGAAGGCCUGCGGGUUGUAAAGUACUUGCAGCGGGGAGGCGUUACCCGCAGAAGAAGCACCGGCUAACUCCGUGCCAGCAGCCGCGGUAAUAC
rnacentral:rRNA from 1 species